GAUGAACGCUGGCGGCGUGGAUAAGGCAUGCAAGUCGAGCGCCCCGCAAGGGAGCGGCGAACGAGGUAGUAACACGUUGGUACGUACCCUUUAGUCAGGAAUAACUAGUCGUAAGAUUAGCUAAUACUUGAUAGUCUCUUCGGAGUAAAGAUUUAUCGCUAAAGGAACGGCCUGCGGAGUAUCAGCUAGUUGGUAAGGUAAUGGCUUACCAAGGCUAUGACGCUUAGAGGACCUGAGAGGGUGACCCUCACCGAUGGUACUGAGACACGGACCAUACACCUACGGGUGGCUGCAGUCGAGAAUCUUCCGCAAUGGGCGAAAGCCUGACGGAGCGACGCCGCGUGAUUGAUGAAGUCCCUCUGGGAUGUAAAGAUCUUUUAUAAGGGAGAAAGUUAUUGAUAGUAUCUUAUGAAUAAGGGGUUGCUAAACUCGUGCCAGCAGCCGCGGUAAU
rnacentral:rRNA from 1 species